UACGGAGGGUGCAAGCGUUAAUCGGAAUUACUGGGCGUAAAGCGUGCGCAGGCGGUUUGUUAAGUCUGCUGUGAAAUCCCCGAGCUCAACUUGGGAAUUGCAGUGGAUACUGGCAAGCUAGAGUAUGGUAGAGGAAGGUGGAAUUCCCGGUGUAGCAGUGAAAUGCGUAGAGAUCGGGAGGAACACCAGUGGCGAAGGCGGCCUUCUGGGCCAAUACUGACGCUCAUGCACGAAAGCGUGGGGAGCAAACAGG
rnacentral:rRNA from 1 species